AAUUUGUAGAUUGCCCUGUUGUUACACAUG
rnacentral:piRNA from 1 species